rnacentral:rRNA from 1 species
GACGAACGCUGGCGGCGUGCCUAAUACAUGCAAGUCGAGCGGACCGAAGGGAGCUUGCUCCUUUAGGUUAGCGGCGGACGGGUGAGUAACACGUGGGCAACCUGCCCUGCAGACUGGGAUAACUUCGGGAAACCGGAGCUAAUACCGGAUAACACCGAAAACCGCAUGGUUUUCGGUUGAAAGGCGGCUUUUAGCUGUCACUGCAGGAUGGGCCCGCGGCGCAUUAGCUAGUUGGUGAGGUAACGGCUCACCAAGGCGACGAUGCGUAGCCGACCUGAGAGGGUGACCGGCCACACUGGGACUGAGACACGGCCCAGACUCCUACGGGAGGCAGCAGUAGGGAAUCUUCCGCAAUGGACGAAAGUCUGACGGAGCAACGCCGCGUGAGCGAAGAAGGUCUUCGGAUCGUAAAGCUCUGUUGUCAGGGAAGAACAAGUACCGUUCGAACAGGGCGGUACCUGACGGUACCUGACGAGGAAGCCACGGCUAACUACUUGCCAGCAGCCGCGGUAA